UACGAAGGGGGCUAGCGUUGCUCGGAAUUACUGGGCGUAAAGGGCGCGUAGGCGGACAGUUUAGUCAGGGGUGAAAUCCUGGAGCUCAACUCCAGAACUGCCUUUGAUACUGAGGAUCUUGAGUUCGGGAGAGGUGAGUGGAACUGCGAGUGAGAGGUGAAAUUCGUAGAUAUUCGCAAGAACACCAGUGGCGAAGGCGGCUCACUGGCCCGAUACUGACGCUGAGGCACGAAAGCGUGGGGAGCAAACAGG
rnacentral:rRNA from 1 species